rnacentral:lncRNA from 1 species
AUGGAGAGCAGCCUAGAUUAUAAUGUCCCCCACAUGAAUACACACCAAAAACCUUUACAGAGGUAUGCAUCUACAAGUUUCACUAUUACAAGAGGAGUUUGUCUGUUGAAAUUGAGUCCAGGAAUACUAUACAAGCAACAAGCAGUAUUUCAGGUACAGUAUCUUCCUUUGAAUUUCUGCUCUCAAUUUUUAAUGUUAUGAACACAUUUUACUUUUUUUUCAUCCCUUGUUUUUGAAUAAGAGUUUCACCAGUACUUUAGAUGUAUAUGAAAUGAUAAGGCAAAUUCACAAGAUAGGAUGUUGGGAUGGAAGUGAGGAUUGGAAACAAGGUAUUUGGGUUUCCUUGUCUUGUGAAGAGUUAUGAACAGAGGAUGAGAGAGAGAGAUGUGUUUUGUUUUAAUCUUUCUUUCUAUUUAAUAAUUUUAUGUUAGCUCUCCAGGAAUUGCCACACAUUUUUAUAUCUAAAUAUCUCAGUCUUUUUCACAAUAAAUUUUAUGAAGAAGUCUGAAAGUGGACA